rnacentral:rRNA from 1 species
UACGUAGGCAGCAAGCGUUGUUCGGAUUUACUGGGCGUAAAGCGCACGUAGGCGGAUCGUUAAGUUGGGGGGUGAAAUCCCCCGGGCUUAACCUGGGAACUGCACUUGAAACUACGAUGCUGGAGUAUGGCAGAGGGAGGUGGAAUUCCACGUGUAGCGGUGAAAUGCGUAGAGAUGUGGAGGAACACCGAUGGCGAAGGCAGCCUCCUGGGCCAAUACUGACGCUCAUGCACGAAAGCGUGGGGAGCAAACAGG